rnacentral:rRNA from 1 species
CCUACGGGAGGCAGCAGUGAGGAAUAUUGGUCAAUGGACGCAAGUCUGAACCAGCCAUGCCGCGUGCAGGAAGACGGCUCUAUGAGUUGUAAACUGCUUUUGUACGAGGGUAAACGCAGAUACGCGUAUCUGUCUGAAAGUAUCGUACGAAUAAGGAUCGGCUAACUCCGUGCCAGCAGCCGCGGUAAUACGGAGGAUUCAAGCGUUAUCCGGAUUUAUUGGGUUUAAAGGGUGCGUAGGCGGUCGGAUAAGUUAGAGGUGAAAACCCGAGGCUCAACGUCGGAAUUGCCUCUGAUACUGGUCGGCUAGAGAGUAGUUGCGGUAGGCGGAAUGUAUGGUGUAGCGGUGAAAUGCUUAGAGAUCAUACAGAACACCGAUUGCGAAGGCAGCUUACCAAGCUACUUCUGACGUUGAGGCACGAAAGCGUGGGGAGCAAACAGGAUUAGAUACCCUAGUAGUC